UAUAGCUCCGCUGGUAGAGCAUGAGAUGCUUAAUCCCAGGGUUGCGGGUUCGAAUCCCAUGCUGGGCAAAA